CAGUAUCUAAAUCUUGUUUUCCACAAAAAGUAAACAAGCUCUUUUAUUAUUUAGAAAUGAAAGCUGCACUCAAAGACAGAUGCCGAGUCUGCCUGGGAGUCAGCGUUGAUAUGGUAAACAUUUUCGAGCGAAAACAAGAAGACCUGAGGUCUUCGAUAGCACACAUGAUCUCUGAAUGCACUGGCUGUGAUGUUGGAAAAGGGGACACUUUCUCCGAGCUCAUUUGUCCACCAUGUCUGGAGGAUGCCCAGAGUGCAUUCGACAUUAUUGGAACCUACGAGCGCAGCUACAUGAUUUUCUGUGAGGCACAAGAUGCGAUCCUGGAGGAGGAAUUCACAGACGGAGAGGUGUACACAAUAUCGGACAGCGAGAGUGGGACUUCGCACGAUGCCGAUGGGAACCGAAAGUGCACUUACAAUGCGGAUGAAAUCUAUGAGAUAUCAGAAGAUGAGUGUGAUCGAACCGUUGACAGCAAAUCGGAAGACUCUACUCAACAACUGGAUAAAAGUGCGUCCAACCAAUGCGGCUUAUCGGACGAGGAAGUCAAGGAUAUGCCACAAACUGCAACUGCUGCAUCUGAUGAACAGCUAAGUGAGACUGAUACUGAAAAACUAUAUUCCAACGAAAACGAUUUGGUUGGCCGUCAUGCUCGGAAGGCCUACAAGUGCUCCUACUGCAGCAAGUCCUUUCCACAUCGAUCCACCUUCGAGGCGCACAGCCGCGUCCACACGGGAGAACGUCCAUUCAAAUGCCCCAGCUGCCCGCUGUCCUUUCGACUGAAAAGCUUUCUUAAUCGGCACGUCAUCCUACAUUUGGGCGAACGACCUUUCAAGUGCGACAUCUGUGCCAAGUCGUUUCAGGACCAAAGUAACCUGUACCACCACAAGAAGAUACACUCCGACAUUCGACCCUUCGUGUGCUCUUCCUGCCCGAAGGCCUUCAAGUUCAAGAGCCACCUAGAUCGCCACAUAAUGAAGCAUACGGGCGAACGACCGUUUAAGUGUGACUAUUGCCUUAAGAAAUACGCGACACGCGGUAACCUUGACGUCCACAUAAGGAAACACACGGGAGAACGUCCCUUCGAAUGCUCCAUUUGCCAGUCGGCCUUUAUGGAUUUAUCGAACCUUAUUGCACACAUACAGAUCCAUUCGCAUGAACGACCUUUCAAAUGUGAUGACUGCGACAAGAGGUUUCUGAAUAAGUUUCGCCUGGCGGCACAUAAAUUAACCCACUCGAGAAAACGACCAUACAAGUGUCCUGACUGCCAGUCCUCCUUUUCAACUCCAUCCUGCCUCUACCAUCACAGAUCUGUACACAUGCCAAAAGGACCUUAUAAGUGUGAGGAUUGCGGCUUAAACCUUAAGAAUAUCAUUCUUUUUCGAAGGCAUGUCAAGAGUCACGCAAGUGCUAGAAAUAAACUUGUCUUCCAUCUAGGAAUUUAUUAUAUGUAAUUUGCAUUUAAUUAUCUGUUAAUUAUUAAUGUUUUCAAAUUCGAUAACAGUUCGAUAAUGUAACAUACAUAUGUUAAUGCGCCCAACAGCCCACUGUUAUGGGAACAGGGUGUUUAUGUCACAUGCGAUCUGAAAGCAAUGCCGAAAUGGUAAACAAACUAUUCCCUCUAAUAAAUGAAAUAUCUAGUAAAUACAACCACAAAUUUAUUCGUAAGGUAAUGGAGAACAAGUGUCGAGUUUGCCUGACAGACUCCGAAAACAUGGUAAACAUUUUCGAAGAAAGGCAGGAUCUUCGAAUUUCAAUAGCCCAGAUGAUUUCCAAAUGCACCGGCUUCAAAGUUGAGAAUGGG